AGCGGGCGUAGUGUAGUGGCUGCACAGGAGCCUUCCAAGCUCCUAGGGCGGGUUCGAAUCCCGUCGCCCGCUCCC
rnacentral:tRNA from 1 species